rnacentral:rRNA from 1 species
AACGAACGCUGGCGGCGCGCCUAAUACAUGCAAGUCGAGCGAGAAGACGUAGCAAUACGUUUGUAAAGCGGCGAACGGGUGAGGAAUACAUGGGUAACCUACCCUCGAGUGGGGAAUAACUAGCCGAAAGGUUAGCUAAUACCGCGUACGCUCCUUGGACUUCGGUUCAGGGAGGAAAGCGAUACCGUGGGUAUCGCGCUCUUGGAUGGGCUCAUGUCCUAUCAGCUUGUUGGUGAGGUAACGGCUCACCAAGGCUUCGACGGGUAGCUGGUCUGAGAGGACGAUCAGCCACACUGGCACUGCGACACGGGCCAGACUCCUACGGGAGGCAGCAGUAAGGAAUAUUGCGCAAUGGGCGAAAGCCUGACGCAGCGACGCCGCGUGGGGGAUGAAGGUCUUCGGAUUGUAACCCCUUUCGGGAGGAGAUGACGAGCAUCGUUCGGACGGUACCUCCAGAAGCAGCCACGGCUAACUUCGUGCC